CGGGCGGCCCUCGGCCCAUGUUUACACGGAGAGGUAGGGGGACGCAGGCCCUCUCAGACCCACUCACAGCCCCGCCGGCCCCCUCUCUUUUUGCCGCAGACGGCCACAGCUGCACGCACAUAGACACAGAGAGACACUGACACAGGCACGCAUGGGCAUGGGCAUGGCACGCACGCUGACGCCGACGCGCUCCCUCCCCCUCCCUUCCGUCGCCCUGGCUCUCGAGGGUUGGGGGCGCUCCUGCUCUCCACCAUCAGCCUCCCUGGCGCCACCCUCAGACUUUUCCCGCCCCUGCCCGGGGUCCCAUCAGCCAGUUCGGCGGCGGCGGCGGCGGCGGCGGCGGCGGCAGCGGCAGCAGGGGGACGAGGACUUGGGUGCCGAGGCGGCCAGGGUGUUCGGCGAGCAGGCCGAGAGCCUGGUGCAGAAGUAGGGCCAGCGACCGUCUGCAGGUGGUGGCGGGAUGCUUGGCGCUGUCUCUUUUCGAAGAAGCAUCCUGUUCCGGCCGCUCUGAGCCUUUUGGUUCGAUGGCGUUCCUUCCUGCCUACCCCCAGCCCCGGUCAAGGCUGCGGCAGGACGGAAGCGAGGCGGGCGGAUGAGGGAGUGAGAGACGCAGAAAUCAAGGUGCGAGGCGGGGCAAGGGCACGGCAGGCUUUCGAGGGCCGGGAGCCGGGCUUAGAGAGCGGACGCUGCUGUCCGUUUGGGCACGGAGGCGGCGGGAACGCCGCUGGCUCCUAAAGAGUCCCUCCUUCCCUCUCCGGCAGUGGCGGGGGGAGCGGGCUGCAGGCAGGGCGGCGGCAGGGCGGGCCGGAGCUGGGGAAGCGCGCGGCAGGGGGUGACGCUGACGGCCGCUCAGGCAUGCAGCCGGCAGGGACGCCGCCGUCUGGGACCGACAGUGACUCGCCUUCACGCCCCAGCUUUCGGGGGGGGGGGGGGGGGGGGGGGAGGGAACCAGCGCGCGCGAGCGGCCGGACGUGCGGGCUGGCCGCCCGAGACGUGCUCGCGGGCCUGGACUGGGUCCCGGGGCUGCGGGUCCGAUCGACGAGACCUGGUCUCUCCAGCACCAGGAGGGGAGGCCGGGUCUACCCACAUGGUGGGGGCGGGGGGGGCGGGGGGGGGGGGGGGGGGGGAGGGGGAGGGGGGCGCUGGCGGCAGGCCUCGAGCUCCAGGAGGAGAAAUCUACAAAGGAAACAAAUCUACGGGCCGCUCACGCCACUACAGUUCCAAGCGGGGCCUGGAACAAGAGGCCUGCCCGCCGCUACACGGCAAACCCAUCGGGCCGGACGGGGGAAGACAACAGCUCUAGCCCGGGGCCAAACGGAAAAACCCCAUCGGGCCGGACGGGGGAAGACAACAGGUCUACCCCGGCGCUAA
rnacentral:lncRNA from 1 species